CUCCGGCGGCGGCAGGCAGAUGGCAUGUCCGGUGUGGUGUGGCGGCAGGCUUCUCCUGUCCGCCGCGAUUCGUUGCAGGCUGGAGCCUCAACGAGUAUCUGAAGCCAGGAUGCCCAGGUUUCCAAUCUGGAAUGAUGAGCUAGCCGCCCUCCAGGCGGAUCCUCUCUGGGUUUCCAGCUCCAGGUACCUCCCGCUGUUCGUGUUUCUACCAAAAAUUAGAACUAGUACUACGUACUUCUGUUCUGUAGCAAUGGCCCGAUAGGAAUGUAAAUGUAAUGGUAAAGAUCGCAACCCCGUAUGUUUAUCUUCAUUAGUUCAAGAAUUGGGCACGCAAAUGAUGGUACACAACAAAGAACCCGCUGACCACUAACGUGUUCUUAUCUCGAUACAUGCGAAAAUCCCACAUUACAGACAGAAGAAAGAACCCGCUGACUGCGAUCGAUCACCUAUAGUCAUUCAGAGAAGACCAGCAAAGAGCUACUUGCGCAUAAAGCCAGUCACACAGACUAUCAGAGGCUGCGAAGCAAGCAAUUCUCUGUUUUGUCCCGAACAAGAGGAUGCAGAAGACCGUCCAGAGACCAAUCGCAAAUCCAGAAAUCGUGGAGAUGGAAAGGAAGAAGGCAUCACCUCCUGCAUCCUUCCGAUCUUCUGGUACAACAGAGAUCAUCCCAGUUUCAGGACAUUUGUUGGAGAGAGGAGGACCACACAGGCCCGGGUUGCCGAUAUAGAUUGACGCCUGGUCAUCGAGCACUUGCAGCUGAUUUCCUGAUGGUAUCUUUCCUGUAAGAUUGUUAUAUGACAUGUUCAAGUGGCUUAAAGAAGUGAGAGCUGAUAAGCUUGUUGGAAUUUCACCAGACAGCUCGUUGUGUGACAGGUCGAGAGACUCCACUUGCACCAGGGCACCAAUCUUUUCAGGAAUUUUUCCAGUAAAGGAAUUCCAUGACACAUUUAAGCUCUUCAGUGCAACAAGACUACCGAUCUCUUCAGGAAUAUUUCCAAUAAAAUUGUUACACGAUAAAUCCAGAUUCACCAUAUAUAUGAUUUCUCCUGUAUAUAGUUGUUCUUGACCCUUUGUGACUACUGUGAAAUUGUCAUCAUACUCUAUCAUUUCAUUUAAACCUUCUGACAUUCCCGAAUCCAGUGUACCUUCAUACUCAUCGUCAUAUUUGUCAGCUGUUAGUGCCAUCCCCUUGAAGUUAACAAUAGAUUUUGGUAUGAUGCCUGACAAGUUAUUGUAGGCAAGGUCCAAAUACUGAAGUUUAACCAGAUUCGUAAGCUCCACGGGAAUGUGACCGCAAAACAUAUUGUGUCUUAGCCGCAAGAAUGCCAAAGAUGGUAACCUGCCCCCAAUCCAUGAGUGUAAAGUCCCAAAGAAUUGAUUAUGUGAUAGAUCGAGAAAUAUGAGUUGCUGGCAGUUCCAGAGAAAUAAAGGAAAUUCACCAGAGAGGUUGUUGUUCCUUAAACUUAGAUUAUGAAUACUGAAACUUGUCGUGUUUGUUGUGGAUUCAUAAUCUUGGCAAUCAGGAAGUGUCCCAGUGAGCUUAUUGCCUGAGAGAUCUAACAACCUUAGCAAUCGCAAUUUGCACAAUGAAGAUGGAAUAGAGCCAGAGAUGAAGUUAUUAUAUAGAAAAAGUGUUUCAAGCCUGGGUGCUCCAAAGUCUAGUGGCAGUGGCCCAGACAAAUUAUUUCUACUAAGAUCUAAUUUUGUUAGAUUUAUAGGAAGCUUAGGUAUGGGCCCAGUAAACUGGUUAGAACUUAAGUCCAUUGCAAAUGCUCUCAUAAGUUCCAUUUUAGGGGAUAGGAAACCGCUAAUUUGAUUACUUCUUAUGUUCAGAGUGUUCACCGAGGAAGCCAUUGUCCAGAACCAAUCUGGAACCAUGUCAUAUAUGCUUGUGUUUGAGAUGUCAAGGUUAUAUAUAUUUGUUUGCCAUUUAAGCCACAUUGGAAAUUUAGGCCCCAGAAUGCAUGACCGAAGUUCAACCUCUGUGAGACUAAAGGGAGGAACCCACGUCGAAUUCAGUCUGAUGGCUAUGGAAUUGUCAGACAGAGAUAAUCUCUCCAAGUUUACUAGGCCUGACAAAUGUCCCUCAUGUAAGGUACCAUCUAGGUUGUUGGUGCUGAGGUCCAAUUCAGCUAGAUUUGUGAGCUUCCCUACCCACAGUGGCACAGGACCAGUGAGCUUGUUAUCACUAAGUUCAAGCCAUGCCAAAUUUCUGAAGGGUUCUAAUUUGGCUGGUAGGCUUCCUGUCAGAUUGCUUUCAGGUAGAAACAAUGUUUUGAAUUUGUUCCAUGAACAACUAGGUAAACGAUUGAUGAAUUCUGUUAUACUCCCAUUGAUGUUGUUUUGAAACAAAAACAACUCCUGCAAAUUACAAAGAUUUUUCAGGUUUGGAGGUAUCAUGCCCACAAGAUUAUUUUCUGAUAAAUCAAGGUGCACUGUGGAGGUCAUAUUUCCUAUCUCGUCAGGAAAUGGGCCGUCAAAUUGACAGGCUGAGGCAUCAAGAUACUUAAGGCUAGUUAAAUCCCAAAACCAGUUGGGUGCGAUAAGCUUGUGGAAAUUGUUAGCCGAGAUGCUUAGGUAUUCAAGAGAUGUCAGAUUUGAAUGCCAAAGUGAAUCAGGGCUGGUGCUAAGGUCACAGAAAGAAAGAUCAAGACUUACAAGGGAAGGAAGCAUGUUCAUCACGGAAACCCAGUUCGUGAUGGUACUGAGGUUGACCCAGCUCAUGUCGAGGUGCUCAAGGGAAGAUAACCGUGAUAGCCAGGUGAUAUCCGUGGAGUGCGUGUCACCAAAAAUGGAAUCAAGAUUCAAGUAACGCAAGUUGGAGAGGUUUCCAAGCUGUGGUGGUAUCCUCCCAACCAAGCUCGACUGCGAUAGGUCAAGAUAUCUCAGUUCAUGGAAAGAGCCCAAGAACUCUGGUAUUUGCACCUUGUCGAACCGAUUGCAGCUGAGGUCGAGAUACUGCAACUGCUGCAAAACAAUCAGUGAGGAGCUUAUGUUACCUCCAAGCACCUGCAUACUCGCAUCACUGUUGUCGCAGUCAGGGCCUUGUAGAUCGAGCUUAACAAUAUGACUGCUUCUGUUGCUACACUGGACGCCCUUCCAUUGGCAGCAGCUGUCACCUUCCCAUGAUGAAAGGCGGUUUGCAGGGUCUGAUAGGCCAGCUCUGAAGGUGAGGAGAGCUGACCUCUCAUGGGCUAUACACUUCUUGAUGGUACCGUUUGUUUCGGUAGAUGCCUGUGUGGAGCUCUUGGUGUGGGUAAAAACGAGCAGGGCUAUGGCAAUUUGGAUGCAGGAGACGCGAAGCAUGCCCAUUGUUUGUUUGCUUUGGAUCUCUCUGUUCUUUUGGCGAUUUGGUCUGGAGUGGAGUAAUGCAACACGUUAUGGUGCUAAUUUAACGAGCUCUGGUAUUUCCGGUGUUUCAAUUGGUCUGCAGGUACUGUUCUUCGAUGUGAUUGGUACGGCGCAUGAAGAUUGGAGAAGAAAUUUCUCCUGGGAUGCUUUUGGUUGUCCUGAAGUGCAGGCAAUUUCCUAGUUGCUACCGGUGAUGUGACUGCAAAGACUAAUGAACAAUGAUUGAUGGCCAAAUGGAGCACACUAGCGACGACUUGUCUUCAACGACCUGGAGUUCCAACUGAUGGAGACAUCCAUUGACUUAGUAUGGUAAGCCUUAUUUUGUAGAACUUUAGGGCAGAGCUGUAAUAUUCCAUAAAAUUGAGUAAUAUUAAAUUGUGUCAAAAAUUUUGCAAAAAAAUAUAAAUUUUGUUUGAAUGUGUGACCCACGCAAAAAUUUGAUAAACAUAAGGUGCACCGUCUCAUUUUCCCCUCUAAUUCUAAUGUUAGUAAUUUAUAAUUGUGCAUUUAAAUGUGAAAUCAUGGUUGAUUUGGUUGUUAUUGGUUAUCAUUUGGAUCUCGAAUGUGUAGGAAGUUCAAAUUCAAACUAAAAGCUAACCAAAAAUUGAAAACCUAAAUGAUUAGCUUCUAACUUGCACCUAACCCGGCCCGCUAACCCAACCAUCAUCCCAUCCCUCUUCCUCUCCCGCUCGCUCCCUCCCUCCCUCCCUCCCUCCCUUUCUCUCUCCCUUCCGCACCAGGUCACCACGUCCAGCCCACCAACCGGUCCAGCCCGGCCUGCUUGGAGCCACCACCGACUAUUCUAGCCAUAUUGAAAAUUGCCAGAUUUUCUCUAUGUACUUAUCAUGUUCGCAAAAUAUUUUCUCUCUGUACUCUCUUCUCAGAAGUUUGCUGGGAUUUGAAAUCAAGCAAGCAUGGUGAUUAAUGGACAAACGGAGCAACCCCAACAAGGACUUCAAACAAUUCGGAAUUGCAACUGAUAGGGGAGACCCGUUGAUAAAAAUUGUAAAUUGUACAUGUACACCGUAGAAUUUGAGGAAGAUAUUCAAUAAUCGUUAGGUCACCGACAAUAUAAUUGAUAAUGACAAUAUACGAGUCUUUAUUAUUCAUUUCCUUAGUAGAAGAAAUAUAUAUCUCUGGGUUAACUAUAAUUUGGUCUCACUGACAUUUCAGCAACUGGGGUAGCAAAGAAUUCACAGGCGAUCCAAGGAAACAGUUGUUGCUGUUGUGUUCGCUUCAUCAAUCCUUUGAUCUCAGCGGCUAUAGUUUCCUCCUUGUCAAGAAAGCCCAGAUCAGAGCCAGGCGCA
rnacentral:lncRNA from 1 species